UAGGUGAUUCAGAAUAACCAUCGGAUCGCAUGGCCUUGUGCCGGCGACGUGCCAUCCAAAUAUCUGCCCUAUCAACUUGAUGGUAGGUUAGUGGCCUACCAUGGUUGUCACGGGUGACGGGGAAUCAGGGUUCGAUUCCGGAGAGGGAGCCUGAGAAACGGCUACCACAUCCAAGGAAGGCAGCAGGCGCGCAAAUUACCCAAUGCCGACUCGGCGAGGUAGUGACAAUAAAUAACGAUGUAGGGCUCUUUAGGGCCUUAUAAUCGUAAUGAGAUCAAUAUAAAUCCCUUAACGAGAAACUAUUGGAGGGCAAGUCUGGUGCCAGCAGCCGCGGUAAUUCCAGCUCCAAUAGCGUAUAUUAAAGCUGUUGCAGUUAAAAAGCUCGUAGUCGGACCUCAGACUUGGCCGACUGGCCCCUCGCUCUGCGGGGGCGUUGGACGGUUGGGUCUUACCUCGUGGUGAACCGGCCUUCCCUUAACGGGGCGGGUCGGGGAACCGCGAACGUUACCCUGAGAAAAUUAGAGUGUUCAAAGCAGGCUUUUGCCUGAAUAUGUUAGCAUGGAAUAACGAAAUAGGACCGCGGUUCCUUUUCGUUGGUUUCGGAGUCGCCGUAAUGAUAAAUAGGGACGAUCGGGGGCGUUAGUAUUCGAUCGUUAGGGGUGAAAUCCUUGGAUCGAUCGAAGACUAUCUACUGCGAAAGCAUCCGCCAAGGACGUUUUCAUUGAUCAAGAACGAAGGUUGGGGGAUCGAAGACGAUUAGAUACCGUUGUAGUCCCAACAGUAAACGAUGCCGACUAGGGGUCGGUCGCCUCAGAUGACACGGGGCGAUCGGUACCUUAGAGAAAUCAAAGUCUUUGGGCUCUGGGGGGAGUAUGGUUGCAAGACUGAAACUUAAAGGAAUUGACGGAAGGGCACCACCAGGAGUGGAGCCUGCGGCUUAAUUUGACUCAACACGGGGAAACUCACCAGGUCCAGACAUGACGAGGAUUGACAGAUUGAUAGCUCUUUCAUGAUUUCAUGGGUGGUGGUGCAUGGCCGUUCUUAGUUCGUGGAGUGAUUUGUCUGGUUAAUUCCGAUAACGAACGAGACCUUAACCUGCUAAAUAGCCCGUCCUCCCAAUUGCGGGAGGUCGCCGGCUUCUUAGAGGGACGAUCGGCUUCUAGCCGGUGGAGGUAUGAGGUAAUAACAGGUCUGUGAUGCCCUUAGAUGUUCUGGGCCGCACGCGCGCUACACUGACAGGGCCAGCGAGCAGAUUUCAUUGCCCUUGGCCGAAAGGUCUGGGUAAACUUGUGAAACCCUGUCGUGCUGGGGAUAGAGCAUUGCAAUUAUUGCUCUUGAACGAGGAAUUCCUAGUAAUCGUGGGUCAUCAGCCCGCGUUGAUUACGUCCCUGCCCUUUGUACACACCGCCCGUCGCUACUACCGAUUGAAUGACCAAGUGAGGCCUUCGGAUUGGUCGGUGAGGUGC
rnacentral:rRNA from 1 species